rnacentral:tRNA from 1 species
CUGUGUGUGGCUCAGUGGCAGAGCAUUUGCUUUACAUGUAUGAGGUCCUGGGUUCAAUCCCAGUACCAGG